rnacentral:rRNA from 1 species
UGCGUAGGCGGUUUUGCAAGUCAGAAGUGAAAGGCUACGGCUCAACCGUGGUAAGCUUUUGAAACUGCAAGACUAGAGUGCAGGAGAGGCAAGUGGAAUUCCUAGUGUAGAGGUGAAAUCCGUAGAUAUUAGGAGGAACACCAGUGGCGAAGGCGACUUGCUGGACUGUAACUGACGCUGAGGCACGAAAGCGUGGGGAGCGAACA